rnacentral:lncRNA from 10 species
UUCAUACGAAGCUUAAAAACAGAAUAAAAUAAAAACAGCUAACCAAUCUAUUUUGUUUUAGGUUAGAAUAGUGGUUAUCCUCGAGGAAGAGAGAAACUAAGAGCUAGAAAUGGGAUCUGGAUGGAGUUCUGAAUACUGUAAAAGGAAGACCCAGGGAUACAUUGAUCCAAUCAUUGGUGUAAUAUUGAGAAGCAAGCCAUGUU